rnacentral:rRNA from 1 species
UACGAAGGGUGCAAGCGUUACUCGGAAUUACUGGGCGUAAAGGGUGCGUAGGUGGUUGUUUAAGUCUGUUGUGAAAGCCCCGGGCUCAACCUGGGAAUGGCAAUGGAUACUGGACAGCUAGAGUGCGGUAGAGGGUAGUGGAAUUCCCGGUGUAGCAGUGAAAUGCGUAGAGAUCGGGAGGAACACCUGUGGCGAAAGCGGCGCACUGGACCAUAACUGACGCUGAGGCGCGAAAGCUAGGGGAGCAAACAGG